rnacentral:rRNA from 1 species
ACGUAGGGUGCAAGCGUUAAUCGGAAUUACUGGGCGUAAAGCGUGCGCAGGCGGCUUUGUAAGCCAGAUGUGAAAUCCCCGAGCUUAACUUCGGAACUGCGUUCGAAACUACAAGACUAGAGUGCAGCAGAGGGGGGUAGAAUUCCGCGUGUAGCGGUGAAAUGCGUAGAGAUGUGGAGGAAUACCGAUGGCGAAGGCAGCCCACUGGGAUAGCACUGACGCUCAUGCGCGAAAGCGUGGGGAGCAAACAG